UACGUAGGGUGCAAGCGUUGUCCGGAAUUAUUGGGCGUAAAGAGCUCGUAGGCGGUUUGUCGCGUCUGCUGUGAAAACCCGAGGCUCAACCUCGGGCCUGCAGUGGGUACGGGCAGACUAGAGUGCGGUAGGGGAGAAUGGAAUUCCUGGUGUAGCGGUGAAAUGCGCAGAUAUCAGGAGGAACACCGGUGGCGAAGGCGGAUCUCUGGGCCAUUACUGACGCUGAGGAGCGAAAGCGUGGGGAGCGAACGGG
rnacentral:rRNA from 1 species